rnacentral:rRNA from 1 species
GCGACGCCGCGUGGGGGAUGACGGCCUUCGGGUUGUAAACCUCUUUCAGUACCGACGAAGCGCAAGUGACGGUAGGUACAGAAGAAGCACCGGCCAACUACGUGCCAGCAGCCGCGGUAAUACGUAGGGUGCGAGCGUUGUCCGGAAUUACUGGGCGUAAAGAGCUCGUAGGUGGUUUGUCGCGUUGUCCGUGAAAACUCACAGCUUAACUGUGGGCGUGCGGGCGAUACGGGCAGACUGGAGUACUGCAGGGGAGACUGGAAUUCCUGGUGUAGCGGUGGAAUGCGCAGAUAUCAGGAGGAACACCGGUGGCGAAGGCGGGUCUCUGGGCAGUAACUGACGCUGAGGAGCGAAAGCGUGGGGAGCGAACAGGAUUAGAUACCCUGGUAGUCCACGCCGUAAACGGUGGGUACUAGGUGUGGGUUUCCUUCCUUGGGAUCCGUGCCGUAGCUAACGCAUUAAGUACCCCGCCUGGGGAGUACGGCCGCAAGGCUAAAACUCAAAGGA